AUCUAUCUGACGAGUCCCAAAUAGGACGAAACGCGCGUCCUGUAU
rnacentral:hammerhead_ribozyme from 1 species